UACGUAGGUGGCAAGCGUUGUCCGGAUUUACUGGGCGUAAAGAGCGCGCAGGCGGUCGUUCAAGUCGCGUGUGAAAGCCCCCGGCUCAACUGGGGAGGGUCACGCGAUACUGAUCGACUCGAAGGCAGGAGAGGGAAGUGGAAUUCCCGGUGUAGUGGUGAAAUGCGUAGAUAUCGGGAGGAACACCUGUGGCGAAAGCGGCUCACUGGACCACAACUGACGCUGAGGAGCGAAAGCAUGGGGAGCGAACAGG
rnacentral:rRNA from 1 species